GAUGGAGCAUUUUUGUAGAAUCAGCAGGAGACAGAUAGCCGUUGUGCGAAUCUGUAGCACUGAAGGAAUCACUUGUGCGCGCGCCAUCGAAAUGAACGGUUGUUUCUAUAUCAUCUCAUCCGCAGCAAAAGUAUUGCCAUCAGACACUAGCGAAGCCGGUAGGCUAGACUGGACAAGUCAAAUCAUAAAGCAGCAUACUGUGUAAAAGUAUUUGACGAUGUAACGAAUGUUUUGAUUUACAGUUUCAUAACGUGCGAUUAGUACAGUAGCGUGUUUCAAUAUAUUCCUUAUCGACAUCGGUGCGCAAAUGUUGUCUCGUUUAAAAAAAUGUGAAAUUGGCAUUAAGCAUAAAAUCUAACAACAUUGUAUUCRUUAAUAACUACACAAAUCAGUAAAAAAAUCUUAUACAGUGAUCUUAUAAAAUAUGGCUUAACAUUUCGUUAGACGUUGGCAAUUCUUUGCUAAACUUUGCUACUGUAUGCAUAAAAGUGAGUCAAUACAUAGCGAAGACAAUUCGAAAUAUACAAUUUUGAGACAAAAUACAAGAAACCGUGGUCAACCUACAACCAUAAGCCAAGUUUAUCAUAAUACAUCGAGGUGAAAGAGUACUAUCUCCAUUUGCUGUUUUCAAAGAGAGAAAAAAGAGAGUCAACGAGAGCACAACCGACCAAAUUUUUUUGAAGCAGCUGGUGCGGUUUCAGAGAUA